GACGAACGCUGGCGGCGUGCUUUACACAUGCAAGUCGAACGGUGAAGGUGGAGCUUGCUCCGCCGGAUCAGUGGCGAACGGGUGAGUAACACGUGGGCAACCUGCCCCUAACUUUGGGAUAACUACUCGAAAGAGUAGCUAAUACCGGAUAUGAGGUCUGUAGGCAUCUAUGGAUUUGGAAAGUUUUCCGGUUAGGGAUGGGCCCGCGGCCUAUCAGCUUGUUGGUGAGGUAGUGGCUCACCAAGGCGACGACGGGUAGCCGGCCUGAGAGGGCGACCGGCCACACUGGGACUGAGACACGGCCCAGACUCCUACGGGAGGCAGCAGUGGGGAAUAUUGCGCAAUGGGCGAAAGCCUGACGCAGCAACGCCGCGUGCGGGAUGAAGGCCUUCGGGUUGUAAACCGCUUUCAGCAGGGAAGAAGCGAAAGUGACGGUACCUGCAGAAGAAGCACCGGCUAACUACGUGCCAGCCGCCGCCGUAA
rnacentral:rRNA from 1 species